rnacentral:rRNA from 1 species
GACGAACCGUGCGAACGUUGUUCGGAAUCACUGGGCUUAAAGGGCGCGUAGGCGGUCAAUCCAGUCGGGGGUGAAAUCUUGCAGCUUAACUGUAAAAGUGCCUUCGAUACUGAUUGACUCGAGGGAGGUAGGGGCAGGUGGAACUUCCAGUGGAGCGGUGAAAUGUGUUGAUAUUGGAAGGAACGCCGGUGGCGAAAGCGACCUGCUGGAUCUCUUCUGACGCUGAGGCGCGAAAGCUUGGGGAGCAAACGGG